GCACGCGUAGCCAAGCGGAAAGGCGACGGAUUGCAACCCCGUCAAUUGCGAGUUCGAGUCUCGCCGCGUGCU
rnacentral:tRNA from 1 species